rnacentral:rRNA from 1 species
CCUGAUGCAGCCAUGCCGCGUGUAUGAAGAAGGCCUUCGGGUUGUAAAGUACUUUCAGUUGUGAGGAAGGGUGUGUAGUUAAUAGCUGCGCAUCUUGACGUUAGCAACAGAAGAAGCACCGGCUAACUCCGUGCCAGCAGCCGCGGUAAUACGGAGGGUGCGAGCGUUAAUCGGAAUUACUGGGCGUAAAGCGCAUGCAGGUGGUUCAUUAAGUCAGAUGUGAAAGCCCGGGGCUCAACCUCGGAACUGCAUUUGAAACUGGUGAACUAGAGUGCUGUAGAGGGGGGUAGAAUUUCAGGUGUAGCGGUGAAAUGCGUAGAGAUCUGAAGGAAUACCAGUGGCGAAGGCGGCCCCCUGGACAGACACUGACACUCAGAUGCGAAAGCGUGGGGAGCAAACAGGAUUAGAUACCCUGGUAGUCCACGCCGUAAACGAUGUCUACUUGGAGGUUGUGGCCUUGAGCCGUGGCUUUCGGAGCUAACGCGUUAAGUAGACCGCCUGGGGA